UAGGGAAUCUUCCACAAUGGACGCAAGUCUGAUGGAGCAACGGCCGCGUGAGUGAAGAAGGUUUUCGGACCGUAAAGCUCUGUUGUUGGUGAAGAAGGAUAGAGGUAGUAACUGGCCUUUAUUUGACGGUAAUCAACCAGAAAGUCACGGCUAACUACGUGCCAGCAGCCGCGGUAAUACGUAGGUGGCAAGCGUUGUCCGGAUUUAUUGGGCGUAAAGCGAGCGCAGGCGGAAGAAUAAGUCUGAUGUGAAAGCCCUCGGCUUAACCGAGGAAUUGCAUCGGAAACUGUUUUCUUGAGUGCAGAAGAGGAGAGUAGAACUCCAUGUGUAGCGGUGGAAUGCGUAGAUAUAUGGAAGAAUACCAGUGGCGAAGGCGGCUCUCUGGUCUGCAACUGACGCUGAGGCUCGAAAGCAUGGGUAGCGAACAGGAUUAGAUACCCUGGUAGUCCAUGCCGUAAACGAUGAGUGCUAAGUGUUGGGAGGCUUCCGCCCUUCAGUGCUGCAGCUAACGCAUUAAGCACUCCGCCUGGGGGAGUACGACCGCAAGGUUGAAAC
rnacentral:rRNA from 1 species